UACGUAGGUGGCAAGCGAUACUCGGAAUCACUAGGCGUAAAGCGCAGGUAGGCGGUUUGGUAAGUCUUUUGUGAAAGCUCCCGGCUUAACUGGGAGAGGUCAAGGGAAACUACCGGACUAGAGUGUGGUAGGGGAUACUGGAAUUCCUGGUGUAGCGGUGAAAUGCGCAGAUAUCAGGAGGAACACCAAUUGCGAAGGCAGCUCGCUGGGACGUUACUGACGCUGAGACGCGAAAGCGUGGGGAGCAAACAGG
rnacentral:rRNA from 1 species